rnacentral:tRNA from 1 species
GGUAAAAUGGCUGAUAAAAGCAUUAGACUGUAAAUCUAAUUAUGAGGCAGUACCCCUCUUUUGCCA